CCCUUAGAUGUUCUGGGCGGCCCGCGCACUACAAUGGCGUGUGCAGCGAGUGCCGAAGCAGAGUUUUCCGAGGUAUUCUUGCAAUGCUCGUUUUGAUGGGGAUAGACCCUUGCAACUGUUGGUUUUGAACGAGGAAUUCCUUGUAAGCAUGGUUUAUCAUCCGACGCUGAAUGCGUCCCUGCCCUUUGUACACACCGCCCGUCGCUCCUACCGAUGAGUCGUCCGGUGAAGUUCGUAGACCUCGUGAUCGCGGAUCACUGGGGGAAGCAAAAUGAACCUCGCGGUUUAGAGGAAGGAGAAGUCGUAACA
rnacentral:rRNA from 1 species